rnacentral:hammerhead_ribozyme from 1 species
AUUCAACUGACCAGUCCCAAAUAGAAUGAAACGCGCGUUUAAAU